rnacentral:tRNA from 2 species
GCUAAUAUCUGUUUUGAGUAACUCAUUCGUAAUGAGUAAGUCGGGGGUUCGAGUCCCCCUUCCAGCU